rnacentral:rRNA from 1 species
GACGAACGCUGGCGGCGUGCUUAACACAUGCAAGUCGAACGGAAAGGCCCGCUUGCGGGUACUCGAGUGGCGAACGGGUGAGUAACACGUGGGCAACCUGCCCUCAGCUUCGGGAUAACACUUGGAAACAGGUGCUAAUACCGGAUAAUAACCUUUCAUCGCAUGGUGGUUGGUUCAAAGUUUUUCGGCUGAGGAUGGGCCCGCGUCCUAUCAGCUUGUAGGUGGGGUAAUGGCCUAACAAGGCGACGACGGGUAGCCGGCCUGAGAGGGCGACCGGCCACACUGGGACUGGGACACGGCCCAGCCUCCUACGGGAGGCAGCAGUGGUGAAUAUUGCGCAAUGGGCGGAAGCCUGACGCAGCGACGCCGCGUGAGGGAUGACGGCCCUCGGGUUGUAAACCUCUUUCAGCUCUGACGAAGCGCAAGCGACGGUAGGAGCAGAAGAAGCACCGGCCAACUACGUGCCAGCCGCCGCCGUAA